AUUGAACGCUGGCGGAAUGCUUUACACAUGCAAGUCGAGCGGCAGCGCGGGGCAACCUGGCGGCGAGUGGCGAACGGGUGAGUAAUGCAUCGGAAUGUACCAUGUAAUGGGGGAUAGCUCGGCGAAAGCCGGAUUAAUACCGCAUACGCCCUGAGGCGGAAAGUGAAGGACCGAAAAGCCUCACGUUAUACGAGCAGCCGAUGUCUGAUUAGCUAGUUGAUGAGAUAAAGGCUCACCAAGGCGUCGAUCAGUAACGGGUCUGAGAGGAUGAUCCGCCACACUGGGACUGAGACACGGCCCAGACUCCUACGGGAGGCAGCAGUGGGGAAUUUUGGACAAUGGGCGCAAACCUGAUCCAGCCAUGCCGCGUAUCUGAAGAAGGCCUUCGGGUUGUAAAGGACUUUUGUCCGGGAGCAAAUCCUAGUGGUUAAUAACCGCUGAGUCUGAGAGUACCGGAAGAAUAAGCACCGGCUAACUACGUGCCAGCCGCCGCAGUAACAC
rnacentral:rRNA from 1 species